ACGGGUCUAGCUCAGUUGGUAGAGCAUCGGUCUCCAAAACCGAGUGUCGGGAGUUCGAGUCUCUCGACCCGUG
rnacentral:tRNA from 3 species